GCAGGGGUGCUUUGGUUUCUGCUGAGCAGGGCUUGCCCUAUUCAAGGACUUUGCAGUGUCCCUUGGUACACCAGUGCAAUGGUUUCUGCUGGGAAGGAAAGGAUGAGCGUUGAAGACAGAGGCAACUAAUGCACCUUAAACACCUUUGCUGUGUCUCUGUCCUUGUUUGAGAGGUGACCAUCCACACCCUGGAAGGGGACGAGAUUAUUUCAAUUUUAUUUCUACUACAGGUUUUUUUGAUCCAUUAAUGUAUUUAAAACCACUUUUUUUAUCGUGCCCUGCCGUACUGUCUGUUGCUGUCUCAACAAUGGAUGUAUCUGUGAGAGGACAUCACUCUCCUGGGCAGUGAGUGCUAGAGGACAAAGCCCUUAGCUUAGCAUUGUUGGGACCAAACAAGGCAAGGAGUCAUGGGUUUUCUUAUUUUACUUCUUCCCCCAUUUGUCAUCCAGACUUCAAAAUGAAGACCUGUAAAUGCCUAGCUCUGUCUUGUGUUUAAUGUGUUUUUAUUUGUAUUAAUGUAACCGCAAAAAGCAGUGAAAGAAGAAAUGUGACUGGAUCUCACUAUUACUGUGUGAGGGCUUAUUUUAAAGGCUGGUGUAUUUAUGUUCUCUUUUUCCACUCCAAGCUUGACUUUUCCCCUCGUUUUUCCAGGUCUGCUGCAUUGGGUGUCCCAAGGAGGGCUGGGUUCCUCAGCAGGGGUCUUAGGAGUUGGUGCUGAUUCUACUUUUUCUGAGGGUGUAUCAAAGUGUGCUAGCAGAAUGAUAGUUUUCUGCACUGGAAAGCUUUCCCUCAAUGCCAUCAGUGCACGGACGUGUUUGAAUUGUGGUACCAGACGGACUAAGGAAAGCCAACACCCGUAGCAGAUUUCUGUUUGCUCUGUGUCUGUAAGAAGCGGGCUGUGUGCUGGACAGGGAGAGGCGCUGUUGGAGUGGCAUCGGCGCCAGGUGUGAGUGUGAGGAUGAUGAGGGGCUCGGAGCAGCCCAGGUGUGAGUGUGAGGAUGAUGAGGGGCUCGGAGCAGCCCAGGUGUGAGGAUGAUGAGGGCUCGGAGCAGCCCAGGUGUGAGCUGUGAGGAUGAUGAGGGCUCGGAGCAGCCCAGGUGUGAGCUGUGAGGAUGAUGAGGGGGUGGCUCUUGCCGGGGCGGUUUUAACGGGGGGAGAGUUUGCCUCUGUACAUUUUUGCACGGAGCUGCUGAGUGGAGGGGUUUAUGGGGCGCUCCCGGCGCUGUCUCACGGAAGGACUGCGAGAGCUUCUCCCAGGGUCGGCGGGAACACCCGGAUUCGCGCUUGGAUACGUCCAAGCAUCGCUUAAAGGAGGUGCCGAGGGACGAAUCUUUGUGCCGGGGAGCAGCAGCCGAACAGGUCCGUGCUGGAGAGUGGGAGAAAGGGCCCUGCUGGUUGCCGUGUCCUCGGUGGGCAGCGAGCUCUGACCUUGGCCGGAUGGGCUGCUGAGUAAUGGAACAAUGGGGAUGCGCUUUUAUGUAUUUAGUGACCUUUACAGAUUUCUCCCCCUGCUUCAGACUCAUCACAGCAGGACAGCGUGAAGACUGAAAGUGUAAGAAGAUGUGGAGGGAAAGAGAGAAUCUGACAGGAGCAUUGAACGCAGAGGUGUUUCUGGGCAUCUAAAGCAGCAGAGGCUUGGAAGAGACUGUGAAGAAAACAGCAUGGAAUACAGGGAGUAUGAGGAGCACACCUUUCAGAGAUUCCAGGUUGUGUCAAGCACAACACUUUUUGCAGCAGAUUGAUUGUGUCACAGGAGGGAUCUGCCCAGUGUCCAAGAUGAUGUUUGAGAUUGAGGCUUCAGGUGCCAGCCCUUAUAAAGGCCACAGCCUUGGAAUCAGGAUGAAGCUGGAGCCUGAGGGAGCCAGGCACACUCAGGAGAGGCUGACCGAGAGGCUCACAGGCCAUCACGAGGCUCUCUGAAGCAGACUCAUUUCAGGUGCAACGUGGAUUCCCGUCACCGAUCAUCCAAAAGAUAAGUUGGGAGCCAUGGCCUGGAGAUGGGGGUGUAGCAGGUUGGGAGUUCUUGGGACAGAUUUAAAAAUUAGCGGAGGGAAAAGCAAACUUGUCCAAGGGCCUCUUAGGACAGCUAAAGGGAGAGGCUCUACUUUUGAUGGCAGCUUUCAGGCGGGCAGUGCAGAACAGCUCUGGUUUGUGUCGUGGUUUCCGGUGUGCCGUGUUCCCUAGUGUGUCUUUGGGGUCCCUUUUGCCUUCUUCCCUCGAGGCCCUCACCACAAGCAUGAUGUGUGGUGUUUGAUGUCCCCCUGUUUGUCACGUUCUGUGUCACGGGUGUCUGCACACAUAUGGGUGCCGGAGCUGUUCUGCCCUGCCGCAUGGCCAGCUGUAAUAGGAGAGGGCCCGGGGACUUGGAAUGUGUAAUGUGGGGUGUAGUUGGACUCUAGAUGGGAUUUGUAGAUGGACACAGGACAUCUGGAGCUCUUUAGCUGUCCUGCCGCCCUGUGACUUUUGUCCUGACUUUGUUUCAGAUUCACCUCCCUAGGUGACUGCAGUGGUUCUAUCUAACCCCAACCCUUCUCAAAGCGUGUAAAGGUCAAUAAUUCAUCUUCCAGAAGUUAUCUCCAGUCCUGGCUUGUAUUUUAUGUACCUGUGUUGGUUUAUGUUUGUAUGUACCUAUACCAUGUGUAUCUCUGUUGGAUUAUACUCUGUGUACUCACAUUCUGUGUACGUAUGUUGGCUUGUACUGUGUGUACUUACACAGCAUGUAAGUGUGCUACCCUAUAUUGUGUAUACUUACACCCUGUGUACACUUGCACUGUUUGCCUCAGCUGAUAUUGUCUGUACUUGCAUUGUGCCACUUAUGAUCGCAGCUGCCCUGACCUGGCACGUAGUCACAGUUAGGUAGCACAGUUAUAAAAACUUUACUGUUCAUCUGUCUUUUGUGGGAUUUUGGGUAGAUAAUUUAUUGGUCCAGAGUGGGGAGAAGUUCUAGCUGUCAGAUAAUCACUCUUUAGCCACUUCCUGUCGUCUCGCAGGUCCCUGAAGCUGCCAACUUCCCCCGAAUCUACCAUUUAACAUCAAGGAGCGGCAGCCAGAAGAUGUGAUAGAAGAUGUGUCACAGCACGUUCUUCAGUGUCUGGAGUCAGGGCCGCAGCGAGCGUCUAAGUGGAAAGAGUGUGUGAGAGCACGUGGCUGUGUCUGUGUCUGCUCGUCUCUGCAUGGGUGGGCACAUGCUGACUGGAGUUAACCUUGUGUGUGACUUUUUUUAUUCUAAAUUUAACAAUGAGUUGCAAAACCUGACAGCAAAUCUCCAGCCAGGUUAUAUUGUAUGUACUGACAUGGAAUGUACCCAUGUUGGCUUAAAACCCAGAAAAACAGACGAAGAUGGGCAAGUAAAAACCCAGAAAAAAACCCCAAGAUGGGCAAGAAAAAACCCUGAAAAAACCCCGAAGACAGGCAAGAAAAAAAACAGAAGAAAAUGAGAAAAUACCCCCCAAGAUGGGCAAGAAAAACCCAGGAAAAACCCCCAAGAUGGGCAAGAAAAAACCCAAAGAAAACCCAGAAAAAAAUUCCAAGAAGGGCAAGAAAAGACCCAGGAAACACCCAGAAAAAAUUGGAAAGAAAUUAUAUAUAGUAUUACAUGCAUUAUGGAUGGUAUUGAUUUAUGUUAUAUAAAGAAUUGUUAAAUUAUUUAAAAUAUAAAAUAUCUGCAUAUAUUUGAAACAAGUUUAUAUUUCCUAAAAUACACUAGAAAAAGAUAUAAAUAUAGAUUUAUCAUAUCUAUCAUUUGUUAUAUAUUACACCAUAUCCAUAGAUAUAAAUAAAGUAAGUGGGCUGUUGUUUUUUAUUAAUUUUUUAUAAGUAGUUUAAAAUAUUAGUUUUUUUUGGUAAAAGCAGGGGUUUUAGUAUGAAAAUUAUAAGUACAGAUAAUAUAAAGGUAGAAUUCGAAGUAUAGAAAUAGAUCAGAAAUAGCUAAAGAUUAAUAUAAAAAUUAAAAAUAUAAGAAAAAAUAAGUUGUAGCAGUAGAUAUGGUUCAUAAUUUUAAAAAUAAUUCAUCUCUAUUAUUUGAAUAGGAUACAUAUUAUAUAGAAUGAUUAAUAUAAUGCUUAAAUAUAAACUAUAAAUAUAAAUGUGAAUAUAGUCAUGCAAGUUAUAUAUAUAAAAAUAUUUCAAUACAGUUUAAAAGAAUAGAGCUUUUUUGUAUUUAUUAGGAUGGGAUUUUUAUUUUAAAUAAUACAUUUCUAUCAUGCUUUUAAUUUUAAACAUAGAGAUAUCCAAUCAAUAUAGAAAGAUAUUUAUAAAACCACAAAAUAUAUUCUGUCUAUUCCUAUUAUUUAUAUUUACUUAUAUUAUAUAAAUUACAUGCUACAUCAAUGUCCACUAUAAAUAUGCAUGUGAGUAUAAAUACGGAAAAUAGAAAUACCAAAUUUAUGGUUUUAAAGCAAGGGGGCUUGUUUGCUUCUGAUCGGGUAAGAUUUUUGGCAUUUAUUUCAGAGGAGUUUUAUUUCAGCGUGGGGUCGCCCUGUUUUUUGCCGCCUUCGCUGCCCGCAACCCCGAGGCGCGCUGCGCCCCCGUCUGGGGCGGGCGGCAGUGCUGCCGCCUUGUGGGCAGAGCGCGGUACUGCAGCCGUGCGCCGGCAGGCAGCCGAGAGGCCGCCAUGUUGGGAGUGGCGUGUCGCGGGUGUCUCGGACUGUUCCUUGACCUUCUCCAGAUGGCGGCGAAAAGGGCGGGGAAGUGGAGGACCCGGCUCGGUCUAAUCGGCUGCCUUCAUGAAACACCGGCCCCGGCGCGGCUCCGAUGGGAUUUUCUGUGGCCUUUCAAGUGUACCCGAUGCAGUCUGUGGGGGCCUCUUUCGGCCGCCAUCUUGGGAAGGGCGUGUCACGAAUGUCGCGGACUUUCUUUGACCUUCUCAAGUUGGCGGCGAAAUGGGUGGGAACAUUGCACACCCCGGUCCGUGCUGGAGAGUGGGAGAAAGGGCCCUGCUGGUUGCCGUGUCCUCGGUGGGCAGCGAGCUCUGACCUUGGCCGGAUGGGCUGCUGAGUAAUGGAACAAUGGGGAUGCGCUUUUAUGUAUUUAGUGACCUUUACAGAUUUCUCCCCCUGCUUCAGACUCAUCACAGCAGGAAAGCAUGAAGACUGAAAGUGUAAGAAGAUGUGGAGGGAAGCAGAGAAUCUGACAGGAGCACCGAACGCGCGAGCGCAUGAAUUUUGCUUUUUGCUUGGAUGUAAACUCAGGAGUUGAAAGGAAUUUGGGAGUGAGAAGGGACAUUUCAGAAGGUGAAGAAGAAAAAGAAGUUGUUGUUGUUGUUACAGGCCUGGCAAAAUCUUUUGUUCUAGCUAAUAAAAGAAGUUAGUUUAAAUAAAAAAAAAAAAAAAAAAAGUAGUUUUUCUUUACCUGACUAUUAUAUUCA